GUAACGGCGAGUGAAGCGGCAACAGCUCAAAUUUGAAAUCUGGCCGUCUUCGCGGUCCGAGUUGUAAUUUGUAGAGGAUGCUUCAGGUGCGGCGCCGGUCUAAGUUCCUUGGAACAGGACGUCAUGGAGGGUGAGAAUCCCGUCUGUGACCGGUGGCCCAGCCCGUGUGAAGCUCCUUCGACGAGUCGAGUUGUUUGGGAAUGCAGCUCUAAAUGGGUGGUAAAUUUCAUCUAAAGCUAAAUACCGGCCAGAGACCGAUAGCGCACAAGUAGAGUGAUCGAAAGAUGAAAAGCACUUUGGAAAGAGAGUUAAAAAGUACGUGAAAUUGUUGAAAGGGAAGCGCUUGCAACCAGACUUGCCCGUGAGCGAUCAGCCGUCCUUCUGGGCGGUGCACUCGCCCGCGGUCAGGCCAGCAUCGGUUCAGGCGGCCGGACAAAGGCCCCGGGAACGUAGCUCCCCUCGGGGAGUGUUAUAGCCCGGGGUGCAAUGCGGCCCGCCGGGACCGAGGACCGCGCUUCGGCUAGGAUGCUGGCGUAAUGGUUGUCAGCGACCCGUCUUGAAACACGGACCAAGGAGUCUAACAUCUAUGCGAGUGUUUGGGUGUCAAACCCAUGCGCGCAAUGAAAGUGAACGGAGGUGGGAACCCUCAAAGGGCGCACCAUCGACCGAUCCUGAUGUCGUCGGAUGGAUUUGAGUACGAGCAUAGCUGUUGGGACCCGAAAGAUGGUGAACUAUGCCUGAAUAGGGUGAAGCCAGAGGAAACUCUGGUGGAGGCUCGCAGCGGUUCUGACGUGCAAAUCGAUCGUCAAAUUUGGGUAUAGGGGCGAAAGACUAAUCGAACCAUCUAGUAGCUGGUUCCUCCCGAAGUUUCCCUCAGGAUAGCAGUAACGUUUUCAGUUUUACGAGGUA
rnacentral:rRNA from 1 species